rnacentral:rRNA from 1 species
GAUGAACGCUGGCGGCGUGCUUAACACAUGCAAGUCGAACGAUGAAGCCCAGCUUGCUGGGUGGAUUAGUGGCGAACGGGUGAGUAACACGUGAGUAACCUGCCCUUAACUCUGGGAUAAGCCUGGGAAACUGGGUCUAAUACCUGAUAGGAGCGUCCACCGCAUGGUGGGUGUUGGAAAGAUUUAUCGGUUUUGGAUGGACUCGCGGCCUAUCAGCUUGCUGGUGAGGUAAUGGCUCACCAAGGCGACGACGGGUAGCCGGCCUGAGAGGGUGACCGGCCACACUGGGACUGAGACACGGCCCAGACUCCUACGGGAGGCAGCAGUGGGGAAUAUUGCACAAUGGGCGAAAGCCUGAUGCAGCGACGCCGCGUGAGGGAUGACGGCCUUCGGGUUGUAAACCUCUUUCAGUAGGGAAGAAGCGAAAGUGACGGUACCUGCAGAAGAAGCACCGGCUAACUACGUG